CAGCAGAGCCCCUUUUUUAUUAAUUGCGAAAGCAUUUUCAAUUGGCUUGCACGUGCCAUCGAUUCGGGGAAUUAUUACUCUGCCCCCAUAAAUUGCAUCCAUUAAGCAUUGAACUGUGUACGUACAUGUGUAUGUACAUGCAUCCAUCUGGUGGUCACUGUUCCCAUUCAGGCCUCUAUUUCGCUCAGUUCACAGUGCUUUGCCAAGUGCGCAGUUUGUUGAUUUAAUUGGCUUGGCAGAAAGGAAAACACCAACACAGCAAACAGCAGAACAACAAAAUGCCUGGCAUAUUUCGCACGAAGUCUGCCGGCAAACAAUACACAAAUGUACAUACGACACGAUAUAUAGGAGGCGUUUAUAGUAUAGGUGAUUACUUAGACAACAAACAGUCUGCGUUUUCAAAUUCAAGUUUCUUUGUAUUCUUGGCUUCUCUGCCUGAUAAAUACUUUACAAAACAUCUGGAGAAGUUCGACCCGCCCGCUAAUAAUAUAGUGCCCGCAACUUAGAGAAUAGAAAUGCGUUGUUCGGUAGGCAGUUCCUACAGGCCGCCGCGUCCUCGACCGCCGGUGGGUCCUCCCUGCCAUGCUCCACGUCCGCCGCUGCCGCCCGGAGCUCCUGGCGGUCCACCAGUGCCUCUUCCGCCGCCCGGAGGCCCUCCUCUUCCUCUGCCACGAGCUGUAGGGGAUUUCGGUAUUAAUAUUCGUAGUUGGCUGAGGGAUCACACACACUGCAAGGCUGUCUUCAUAUCAUUUUUUAGCUCAAACUUUUUAAGAAUAAACGUCUACACUACUCA